GCAUUGAACAUGAUGUUGUUUCUACUGAGAUUUCUUCCUUGGAGAAAUGUUCAGUUUGCCUGGGACCAUUUUCCCCUUUAAAAUGGAGGGGACUCAAAUGUGUAGAUUGCACAACUACAUGGCAUGUACAUUGUUUCCUCGCAAAAGAGAAAAGACAAAAGCAGCAGAAUGAAUGUGACACAUCAGAAGAAGAAUCCGAUAAAGAGCAGGAUCCAGAUUAUGUUCCAGAAUCAGCAACAGAUACAGAAAAAGAAGAAGAAAAGUAUGAAGAAGAAGGCAUCACCAUCCUGAAAAACUCAGAAGUUACAAUUGUUAAAGAUCCAUCAAUUUUAGACUUGGAUACAGGUGACACCAAUGACGCCCCUGUAAAAGCAACACAUGCAAAAUCUUUGAACAUAGAUCCUAAAAAGACUCUAGUUGGAAGGAAA